GGCUUUAUAUUCAAUUAUGAUAUUAGACUGCAAUUCUAAUGGUGUGCUUGUGCACUAAGGCCU
rnacentral:tRNA from 2 species